GCGGGUAUAGCCAAGCGGUAAGGCAGCCGCCUGCAGAGCGGCCAUGCGGGGGUUCAAAUCCCUCUACCCGCU
rnacentral:tRNA from 1 species